rnacentral:lncRNA from 1 species
AUAUUGUUAUAUACCUGCUUCUUCUUCUUCAGCACGACAGCCCCUUACAGGCUUCGGCUGCCUCAACAACACGUAGCCUCCAACGCCUCCUGUCCAAGGCGACUUUUUUCCAGUAGUUUAUCUUCAAUAGUUUUAGAUCUUUAGCAGUGUCAUCUAGCCGUCUAGUUGGAGGUCUUCCUCUAGCCCGAGAUCCCGAAGGAUUUUUAGUUAUAUGCCUGCAGCAACUCCAUACUCGCCAAUUCCUAAGAAGUGAAAACGGAAAUAAUUAUGAGAAAUAUAUCAUUAUCAUGAGAAAGAUAUAAACUUUUUGUGAAAUUUGUGCCUUUUCCCAACAUAUGAAUUGAAUACUAGUUCUUUGGGAUGAAAAAAGUGCAUCAUCAAUAAAGAGGGAAUGAUCUCAACUCUACGAAACCAUGCACAAAACAGAGACUUGGUACCGGCACAGUUAAUUAAGAUAAAAUAAUUCCGAUUUCUUCUAUUUAUUAUAUAUGCUGUUAUUUUCAAAGGUUUACAAUAUUGGACUGAGCAAAUCACGUUUUUAGUAGUUCAUCCCAACAAAAUAAAUGCUAACUGCAUUCAGUA